rnacentral:rRNA from 1 species
GACGAACGCUGGCGGCGUGCCUAAUACAUGCAAGUCGAACGCAGUGGGUACGGGUGAGUAACACGUGGGUAACCUCCCAUCAGAGGGGAUAACACUUGGAAACAGGUGCUAAACCGAUACUGAUGGAUGGCCCCGCAGUGCAUUAGCUAGUUGGUGUGGUAACGGCUCACCAAGGCCACGAUGCAGAGACGACCUGAGAGGGUGAGCGGCCACACGGGGACUAAGACACGGCCCAGACUCCUACGGGAGGCAGCAGGAGGGAAUCUUCGGCAAUGGACGAAAGUCUGACCGAGCAACGCAGCGUUAGUGAAGAAGGUUUUCGGAUCGUAAAACUCUGUUGUUAGAGAAGCGGUAUCUAACCAGAAAGCCACGGCUAACUACGUGCCAGUAGCCGCGGUAAUUC